UCGAAGAUGUUUGCCAUCCUUUCCGAAACGAGCAGCUAGGACUCGUUUUCUUUCAAACUUAAUUAGCUCGUUAUCAUUUAAUUUGUUAAGUGCAACACUAUAACCCGCAACUCUGCGCCAGCCUUUGGAAGCACCGCUCCAUCAAGGCGAUUAGUUUGGCUAUAUCAGAAGCUGUCAACCGCUACACGACCCAUGCGUUGAACUUGGAUUGGAACAAACGAAGGAACCUCUGCUUUCGAGCGAAUGGCUGACGAGAUAACUCCGGCAAGACAGCAGGGAUGUUUUUGUUAUUCUAAAUGAGAAUGGGGAUCUCAGUUAUAUCUUGAGAUACGUAAUAUCGAAUCACGGAUUUUUUACAAGGAAAAAAAUGCCAUCACCGGGACAGGAAAAAAAAUUACAGGACGAGAGGUGCUACAACAGAAAAUUACUCAUUGACGGGGAGUAUUCUGUACACGAAUGAAUCAACCGUAGAACGAAACUACCUUAAGGUCAAUGUGUCAUCGGGGGGCUGCGGAGGAACAAGACUGUCGUAUGGCUUCACGCCAAGGGAAGUUCCCUUGGUGUGGAGUGGAAUGAGCUCCUCCUGAAUAAGUGGAAGAUUAAUGAGAAGGUGCGAAGUCAUCAAAAUGGAGCCACUAUAGAUUUCAGCUUGUGUCAUUGACAAGGCUUCAUGUGUACCCAAAGUUCUUAAAAUAAUACUUUUAAAGCAACUGCUCAAGGUCUUG
rnacentral:lncRNA from 1 species